GACUGCAUAGCGUAGUCGAUUAACGUGUUUGACUUUGGAUCAAAAGGGUAUGGGUUUGACUCCCACUGUGGUCA